AGAGUUUGAUCCUGGCUCAGAUCAACGCUGGCGGCGUGCCUCAGACAUGCAAGUCGAACGAUUAAAGCUCUCUUCGGAGAGUGUAUAGAGUGGCGCACGGGUGAGUAACACGUAAGUAAUCUACCCUCGAGUGGGGAAUAACAACCGGAAACGGUUGCUAAUACCGCAUAAUGCAGCGGCACCGCAAGGUGACAGUUGUUAAAGAUUUAUCGCUUGAGGAGGAGCUUGCGGCAGAUUAGCUAGUUGGUAGGGUAACGGCUUACCAAGGCUACGAUCUGUAACCGGUCUAAGAGGACGGUCGGUCACACUGACACUGAAUAACGGGUCAGACUCCUACGGGAGGCAGCAGUCGGAAUUUUGGGCAAUGGGCGAAAGCCUGACCCAGCAACGCCGCGUGAAGGAUGAAGUAUUUCGGUAUGUAAACUUCGAAAGAAUAGGAAGAAUUAAUGACGGUACUAUUUAUAAGGUCCGGCUAACUACGUG
rnacentral:rRNA from 1 species